rnacentral:rRNA from 1 species
CCUACGGGAGGCAGCAGUGGGGAAUUUUGGACAAUGGGCGCAAGCCUGAUCCAGCCAUGCCGCGUGUGGGAAGAAGGCCUUCGGGUUGUAAACCACUUUUGUCAGGGAAGAAACGGCUCUUACUAAUAUUAGGGGCUAAUGACGGUACCUGAAGAAUAAGCACCGGCUAACUACGUGCCAGCAGCCGCGGUAAUACGUAGGGUGCAAGCGUUAAUCGGAAUUACUGGGCGUAAAGCGUGCGCAGGCGGCUUUGCAAGACAGAUGUGAAAUCCCCGGGCUCAACCUGGGAACUGCAUUUGUGACUGCAUGGCUAGAGUACGGUAGAGGGGGAUGGAAUUCCGCGUGUAGCAGUGAAAUGCGUAGAUAUGCGGAGGAACACCGAUGGCGAAGGCAAUCCCCUGGACCUGUACUGACGCUCAUGCACGAAAGCGUGGGGAGCAAACAGGAUUAGAUACCCUGGUAGUCCACGCCCUAAACGAUGUCAACUGGUUGUUGGACGGCUUGCUGUUCAGUAACGAAGCUAACGCGUGAAGUUGACCGCCUGGGGAGUACGGCCGCAAGGUUGAAACCUUAGAAGUAGUAGCGUGUAGAGUGCGACGAGCACGAGGAGGGUUAG